rnacentral:misc_RNA from 1 species
UUAAGUUCAGCGGGUAUUCCUACCUGAUCCGAGGUCAACCUUAGAAAAAAGGGGGGGUUUCCCUCCCGCGAACGGGAGAGAAGGAGACCGGGUCCCGGGGACACCUUGAAACCGAUACGUGCUCAAUGAAGCUCCAUGUACCGGGGGUCCAACCAGGCCGCCGUCAUUGUCUUUGGGAGGGGUCGAGCGAAAGCGCGACC